rnacentral:sRNA from 1 species
ACAAUAUUUCUUUGUUUUCCAGCAAUGUGCAGUUUACUAUCCAUACCUAGGUUUUUUCAGUAUACGGAUAUGGAUAGUAAACUGCACAUUGCUGAAAAACAAAAAAAUAUUGUU